AAUGAACGUUGGCGGCGUGGAUUAGGCAUGCAAGUCGAGCGAGAACCCCGCAAGGGGGGACAGCGGCAAACGGGGUAGUAAUGUGUCGGAACGUGCCCAGAGGACGGGGAUAGCGGCGGGAAACUGCCGGUAAUACCCGAUGAUCUCGAGAGAGCAAAGGUGUGAUUCCGCCUUUGGAGCGGCCGACAUGGUAUUAGCUAGUUGGCGGGGUAACGGCCCACCAAGGCUGUGAUGCCUAGGGGAUGUGAGAGCAUGAUCCCCACCAUUGGGACUGAGACACUGCCCAGACACCUACGGGUGGCUGCAGUCGAGAAUCUUCGUCAAUGGGCGAAAGCCUGAACGAGCGACGCCGCGUGCGGGAUGAAGGCCUUUGGGUUGUAAACCGCUGUCGAGGGGGAUGAAGGCAUUCAGGUCAUCCUGAAUGUUUGACAGAGCCCUGGAGGAAGCACGGGCUAAGUUCGUGCCAGCAGCCGCAGUAACAC
rnacentral:rRNA from 1 species